rnacentral:lncRNA from 1 species
AUAGAUAAAUUGUGCUGAUGCACGUUAAGCAUACAUAGUAAAAGAAAAUUUGCAACUUGGAAGGGAGGGCUGCAGCCCAUGUUGGCCUCCAUGACGCUCCGCCAGUGGUCGCAGGGGCUAACGAUGAAUCCCGCGAUUUAAUGCCACGCACGUAAAGUAGCAAGACAUAAAACGCACGCGCGUAUCCAGGCGGCCAUGAUGUCGCGGGGCUAGCGAGCGAAUCCCGCGAUUUAAUGCCGCACGUGUAAAAUGGUAAGUCAUGAACACGCGCAUUGCGUCCUUCGAUUCAAAGGAACUAAGAUUUGUUUUACCAUUAAUAAUACUUAAAAAUUGCGAAAAAUAACCCGGCGUGAAAAGACCAG